CAAAAAAUCAAAAUACAAAAGACUCAACGGAUUCCAACUGGCAAAACACGCAAAGGAUUCAACAGAUCCCAAAGGGUUAAAAACAUGAAUAUGAUAAUUUUGCUUUUCAAGUUCACUAUGUAGGACGACUCCCAAAUUGUCCUCUCUCGUGCUCAGGAAAGACCAAUUUUUUUUUUAUCAUAGAAAAAAAGUGGGAAUAUGAUAUGGUGACAAUUGAGAUGGCAUCUAGUAGGGCUCGUGGUCAAUUUGGUGGUGGAAGUGCAUCACCAAACUCGAAAAGUUGCUUUCAUUCUUGCUGAAUAACUGAACAUCAAUCUUUCCAAGAUUAGAAACUCAAUUUCCUCACGUUUGCUGCUACUGGAAUUUUAAUUUUCUUUGCAUUUGUUGCUGCUGAAAAUUGGGCUUCGCCAAACUUUAGUCGUUGGUGUUUGAAUUCAUUAGUGUAGCCUUGCACCUCAAUUGUUUGUCAAUUUGCCUCAACGAAUUUUAUGCCAAAAUAGACAUCAGCUCUACGUCCCUACUUGCCGGAGAUGGCGGCCUGUGGGCCGUCUGACAAGCUUCCGGACAGUGGGACUUCAGUUUUGAGGUCCUUUGCAUCAGUACUAGCAGAUGGUACGAAACAAACUGAUGCCUUAGCCUUGGGAGAGGUCUCAACCUUUAGAGGAGAGCCAGCCUUGCGCAUCUCUCGCAGGGAAAUAGAGCAGCUUUCUGUUCCAUUUCAGAACUCUUUGGUGGGGCGCUUCUUGUUCAACAGACCACCCAUGGAAGUUAUUAGGAAAUUCUUUCUUUCGCUGGGUUUACGAGGUGCUGUAAGGUUGGGCUCCUUGACCAGAAACAUGUUCUGAUCCGUCCGGUGUUGGAGGAAGACUACACCCGUCUUUUUGCACGUAGAAUCUGGUUGUGAUUGGGAUGGAUGUGGCUGCUUCUGAGUUUUCUGGUAAAGACAAGACUUAUGAUCUAAACUUCAAAGAAGAGAAUAAUGAUGGCUCACAAAAGAUAUCAGGUUAUGACUGAAGGCUCUCAUUUCAUUGGAAAGUUUGGAAGCUACUGCAAGUUCUUUCUACUUGCUAGGGAUGAGAAUAUUUUAGUUUGUGCACAAGAGAAUCUUUUAAGUUUGUGCACAUGAGAAUCUUUCAAGUUUGUAUUUGUUAGGGAUUUGUUAUGUUAGUACUUGUUACUGACUUUUAGUUCAACAAAUUAUAUUUGAGUAUUGACUUUUGCUUUUAGAUUACUAUAUGGAUUCUGUUCUUUGGGAUAAUUUUACAAGUCCUUUGGGUUUCUGAUUGACGGAAUGUAUUGCAGGGAGCACUACCUGCAGGUUGCUUCUAUAU